rnacentral:lncRNA from 1 species
GAGAUUCGAGGAGGCCUAGAGAAUUAGAAGGGAAAUGAUGGAGAAAGGAGUAAAGGCUGAUUCUGGUAGUUGCUGGGUGGUGUGACAGGAUUGAUGGCAUUAAUUUCGAGCAUUUGCCAAUAUGAAAUUCACCUGAAGAAGGUAUAUGACCCAGACACAUACUUGUGGUGGCAAGCAGCCUCUAUCUGGUUUUAACAAGGUGGUUUUAAAUGGCUGAGAGCUGGAUGGAAGCUUUCCUGGAGGAAAUCUCUUGAGCAAAAAGAAGGGAAAGUGAAGGAAAAAGAUGCUCUCAGCUCGAGAGAUCAAGGGACGGAGAACCUGAGUUGGCGAGGGCAGUAGCAUCUCUUACAUGCCCACUGGUGCGGUGUUCCAUGGACUUGGAAGAUUUGCUUAAAUGGCCUUUCGUUGCUGUGCUACGCUCAUCCUACCUCGACGGCCUAUAGGGAUAAGGAAAGAUGGCGUGUUUAUCAAGAACAGAGGCAAUUUUUUAUCUGAAUGUCGAUAUGCUUGUAUACAAAGAGGCAUGUUAGCUGUUGAAACACACAUUACACAUGUUACCUGCUGAAGCACACUUUGUAAUGUACCUU